GCAUUUGAGAGAAUACCCUUGAGAUGCUGCUGACCAGAUCCUUGUUAUGCUGUUCUUGAUUAACGGCAUCAUCUCCUUCCCUUGAUGUCAAUGUAUGUUUGUGUUGCACAGCUUGCCAGUCUCAGUGCUGGGGCUGGAAUUGUCACAAGGAAUGCAAUCCCUCUCUGUCUGGUUCAGAAUGGAUAUCCUGCCUGUUGCUCCAUCUUCUCAUGGGCGUCCAACAGCUGUGGGGAGGCAUUCAAAGUGGUGAUUAUUUAUGCAAGGAGAAGUCUCUAAUCGGAUACCUUGUUGGGCAGCAACUCCUCUUAAAAGAAACGAUGGGGACUGCUAAUGGAAAGAAAUUACAAUCCCUUUACAAAUCAAUCCACUUGAACCACAGCACCUCUGCUAGAAUUGUUCUUCCUGGAAAGGCUUUAUGUACAUCCAACAGGAAUGGCAGCACCAGCUGAAGCAUGAAGAACAACGCAAAGGCAGAAGUUGAGCUGUCAUCAUGCUGGCAGCACAGCUUUAAGACACCUCUGAGGCUUUAGAGGCUGUGGACCUGGAACCUCGCUUUACAGUCUUCUGAGGGAAUGAAGGAAUACUGCCACAGCACAGGCUUAUGGAAGAGUGGAUGCAUAAGAGGUAAAACGUGUUAUGUACAGCCUGCUCUAAGGCUUUGUGAGAUGAGUGUUGGAAGCUCAAGUGCUCUCUCCAUGUGCCUUAUUUUUUGACCAGAGUCAGGAAG